rnacentral:rRNA from 1 species
UGCAGUCGAACGCUUUUUCUUUCACCGGAGCUUGCUCCACCGAAAGAAAAAGAGUGGCGAACGGGUGAGUAACACGUGGGUAACCUGCCCAUCAGAAGGGGAUAACACUUGGAAACAGGUGCUAAUACCGUAUAACACUAUUUUCCGCAUGGAAGAGAGUUGAAAGGCGCUUUUGCGUCACUGAUGGAUGGACCCGCGGUGCAUUAGCUAGUUGGUGAGGUAACGGCUCACCAAGGCAACGAUGCAUAGCCGACCUGAGAGGGUGAUCGGCCACACUGGGACUGAGACACGGCCCAGACUCCUACGGGAGGCAGCAGUAGGGAAUCUUCGGCAAUGGACGAAAGUCUGACCGAGCAACGCCGCGUGAGUGAAGAAGGUUUUCGGAUCGUAAAACUCUGUUGUUAGAGAAGAACAAGGAUGAGAGUAAAACGUUCAUCCCUUGACGGUAUCUAACCAGAAAGCCACGGCUAACUACGUGCCAGCAGCCGCGGUAAUACGUAGGUGGCAAGCGUUGUCCGGAUUUAUUGGGCGUAAAGCGAGCGCAGGCGGUUUCUUAAGUCUGAUGUGAAAGCCCCCGGCUCAACCGGGGAGGGUCAUUGGAAACUGGGAGACUUGAGUGCAGAAGAGGAGAGUGGAAUUCCAUGUGUAGCGGUGAAAUGCGUAGAUAUAUGGAGGAACACCAGUGGCGAAGGCGGCUCUCUGGUCUGUAACUGACGCUGAGGCUCGAAAGCGUGGGGAGCGAACAGGAUUAGAUACCCUGGUAGUCCACGCCGUAAACGAUGAGUGCUAAGUGUUGGAGGGUUUCCGCCCUUCAGUGCUGCAGCAAACGCAUUAAGCACUCCGCCUGGGGAGUACGACCGCAAGGUUGAAACUCAAGGAAUUGACGGGGGCCCGCACAAGCGGUGGAGCAUGUGGUUUAAUUCGAAGCAA